rnacentral:lncRNA from 1 species
GGAAGGAGAAAAAACAGGGCCUAUGUGUGGUACUAAAAUCUACCAGAAACAUGCAAUACUCAAAAUAAUAGGGAGUUAUUCUGAUGUUCUCACCCCCCAAAUUUGAAAUGGGGCGCAGAAAGAGGGGAGGGAAAGAGAGGGAAACGCUAGCGAAAAUUAUCCACAAUUACAAAUAGCUAGCAAAUUUUAUAUCUAUUGGAGUGUUGUAAGAGAUCUUUGAUUAUUUGUCCCCAAAUAUCCUUCCACUGCUUGGAUCUCUUCCUACAUAUCCGCUGACUUUAAAACAAGCUAUGCAUGACGGAAAAGGCCAGGGUUCUAGCAAUCAGCUUUGCAAAACACAUUGGUGCCAAAGGUUGAUUUCUAGGCUUGGGGUUUCUCACGGAGCCUGGCGACGUGAUGAGCUUUGCCAACCUAGCUAGAGAGAUCUGUGAGCCUGGGUUGUCUUGUUCAUUUCCCUUCCCACUCUUUUCUCCUCCUCAGGCCCAUUUUCCCUGGUGGUUCCUCAAUGCGCUUGCCUUCCUUCCUCCUCCCCUCUCCCUUCUUCCCCUUUCACUAACCCACCCCUUCUCCCUCCCUCCUUUCCUCUCCCCUUCACUCCUCCACCUACUCCUCCCCAUCCCCCAGCCCCCCUUCUCACCACCGCUUAUAAUGGCUCCCGGGGCUCCCUCAGAGGUGGACGGCCCGUCUAUGUCUACCAACUUUUCUCCAAGAAUAAGAUGAAGAGAGCGGAGGUGAUGCCGAGACAGACCCUUUCCCCCCACUUUCCUGCCUCCUAGUCUCAGAUGCUCCACGCGGGAUUUGGACGCCCUCUGAGGGUUCUUCCUCUUCUUCUGACUCAAUAGCAGUUCAAUUAGGAACCAUUAAACUAUUUUCCUGGUGUAUGUCUAAAUUAUUUUAAGUGUGUGUUCCUAACACAGAAAUACAAACAGCACAGUCUGUAUGUUAAUGAUUUAAUGCUGUCUCCACCAGAGGCAUCACUGCCGAAGAAAGAUUGUCCACCCAACAUCUUUGGUAGUCAUCCUGGGAGGCAAAACUUUGGAGAUGAAAAGAAUAUAAGAUGCCAUUCAAAUCAGCAGCUCUGGAGAAAGAGGACUGAAUCAGUUCAUUCUGGGAACUAAGCUGAAUGGAGUCCAGAUCACCCUCCGUUUCCCAGCGUUGUGUCUUGUCUGUCUCUGUGGAUACUUAAUGUCCUUCACUAAUGUAUUUGGCUAGUCUGUUCUUGCUAGCACACCUGUAGACUAAUUUCUACAAAUUCAGAUCUUACAAAAAGCUGAGUCUUUAACUUCAUGCAAUGGCAGAGUUGUGACAUCUUAGACUCAUUUUCUCCCAAAUGGCUUUCUGCUGCCCUCAACUGGUAGUGAGUCAUCAAUGCAGUAAAUCUCUGCAUUCAUGCUAACCCCCAGCAUUGUUUGACUCUAAAGGAGAUGUAGAAAAAUUAUUAACCACAUUACAGAUGAUUUUUAUUACAGAGAAAAAAAUGGAACUCAGAGGUUUUUAAGGUGUCCACCUAUUAUUCUCUAUUUCCUCAUUUUCUACCCAGUUGCAUGUGAUACAUGAAGAAAAGUAUUUGGCCUUUUCUUCUUUCAAGUAUGUGUGUGUGCCAGAGUAUUUGGAAGGGCUGCUUAAUUAUCAAAUCAAGAUGCAUUUCAGCUGGUGUAAUACCUAGGAGAUAUUUCUGUAAUUAGUCAUAAGUGAUGUUAAGUAUUUUAUCUCUAAUGUUAUAAAGAGACAGAGAAUUAUAUAAGGACCAUAAAUAGUGUGUAAGUGUUCUCUUUGUUUUGACAAAUUUAUAUUGGGCAUAUGCUGUAUGUCAGACAGCA